UGCUAGCGUUGUCCGGAAUUAUUGGGCGUAAAGGGCUCGUAGGCGGUCCGUCACGUCGGGAGUGAAAACUCGGGGCUCAACCCCGAGCCUGCUUUCGAUACGGGCGGACUAGAGGUAGGUAGGGGAGAACGGAAUUCCUGGUGUAGCGGUGGAAUGCGCAGAUAUCAGGAGGAACACCGGUGGCGAAGGCGGUUCUCUGGGCCUUACCUGACGCUGAGGAGCGAAAGCGUGGGGAGCGAACAGG
rnacentral:rRNA from 1 species